AUCUGGAUACAAACAAUUAGAUCAUUCUUUUAUAUGAAGGACAACAUGGGUCCAUGCAAAUUCCCAGUGCAUUCAUGCUGUCUGAAAAUUCAAAAGAGAAGCAAUUCAAAGGACUUCCAUUUACUUAUAUCCCCUCUAAUCUGCACAAAAGGUUAAAUGUAGCAGUGCAGCAGUUCUGGCCAUCAAAAUAUGAUUAUUGUACUUUAAAAGCAGCCAUGAGAACUCUGCUCUUUGAUAGACUUCAACUUGCAACAACUAAGGAAUAAUCCAGUUCCAGAGGAGAUUAGGAGUUGGGUGAGAGGAUAGACUCUAAUCUUAGAGAAUUAAGUAGUUUUUAUGGAACAGGUGGUGUUUGGUUAUGUGGAUAGGUUUUUUGGAAUACUACUCAGCCAUAAAACGGAACAAAAUAAUGGAAUUCCCAGCAACCUGGAUGGAGUCGGAGACCAUUAUUCUAAGUGAAGUAACUCAGUGAGAACAAACAUCGUAUGUUCUCACUUAUAAGUGGGAGCUCUUAAAAGUGGGAGCUAAGCUAUGAGGACACAAAGGAACUUAGUUAUUACCAGGAACAGAUGACCAGUUGCAAGAACUGUCACUAUUUUAACAUUCUCCAUCAGCUGUGGCCAUGUUGGAUUUCUGGCACCUGAGCAUUCACAUCCAUCUGUUUAUAGGGCAUUAUGCCCACUCAUGAGGUUUAUUCCAGUUUCAAAAAGUCAUGUGUAAACCAAGAUUGGAAAUAUAUAUUCCUUGAGAAAUAGAGACACAGACACACAAGGGAGAAUGCCAUAUGAAAAUGGAGGCAGAAUGGAGUGAUGCAUCUACAAGCCAAGGAACACCAAAAAUUGCCAGCAACUACUAGAAGCUAGAAGAGGCAAGAAAGGACUUUCUAGAGCCUUUGGAAAGCAUGAUUCUGCCACAUCUUGAUUUUGGACUUCCAGCCUCUAGAACUGUGAGAGAGUAAGUUUCCAUUGUUUUAAACCACCCAAUUUGUAUUAAUUUGUUAUAGAAGCCCUGGGAAACAAAUAAACUACUUUAGAUCAGUUAGGAAGGCUUCUUGAACUAUAUGACUUUUAAACAGAGACAUAAAUGAUGAGACUGUCCCAGCCAAGUUAAAAAUAUCACUGGGAAUCAAACUCACUGGUGUUAUUCCAGCUCAGUGGUAAAUGUUCUACUGGUAUUUUAAAUAAUUCUAAAAUAAAGUCAUUAUUUUUCUUUGCA